rnacentral:misc_RNA from 1 species
CAGAGCUCCUGCCCGUAAGGGUAGAUCUCCCACCCUAUGUUAUAUUUACCUCUGUUGCUUUGGCGGGCCGCCCUGGCCUCGGUCAGGCUACCGGCUCCGGCGGGUAAGCGCCCGCCAGAGGACCCUAAACUCUUGUUUACAGUGUCGUCUGAGUACUAUAUAAUAGUUA